CUGAAAUUCAUUCAUUCGCCAACAAACACUGGUUCAAGAUCUAUAUAUGUGCCAGGAACUAGGUAUGCAUAGCUGGAAAAGGAAGAGGCCAGCCUUCAUGGCACUCACAACACAUACAUGAGCAAUUAGAGCACAGGAAGAGGAAUUUGGUCAACGAGUUUUUCAUGAGCAGCUACUAUAUGCCAGGCAUUUUACAAACAUUAACUCAUUCGAUCCUCACAAUAACACAGUGAGGUGGGGAUUAUUUUACCCCCAUCUUGCAGAUGAAGAAAUUGAUGCUCAGAAAGGUUAAGUAAUCACUACAAAUGUCAGGAAGAAGACGCUAAGAAGUAUCUCUCUGAAGGGUGAGCACGUGUCUGGGAGUGUGCAAGGAAAGGGCUUUCCAGAAAGGAGCAGCAGGUGCAGGGCUGGGAGGCACGGAACGGCAACCAGGGAACUGUAAGCUCACAGAGCCCUGUGCACUGAGCCGAGGGAGGACACUCAGGUGAUCGGGAGGCUGUGAAGCGGAGUAACUGUCAACGAGUGGACGGCAAGUAGCAAUUGGACAGAUUUGGGUUUUUAAGGACCCGGGCUAUGAAGAGAGCUUGGAGGGAGAAUAUGGUGGGCUGCGUCAUGCUGGCAGCUUCCUCUUAGGGUUAAAGUCUUGUCUGGCCAAGAAGGGCCCAGUUAGCCAAACACUUCCAGUGGAUCCAAGGCUCAUGUUUACCGAGGCUUGGGCUCAGCCUGGCUAGGAGACUUCCUUUGUGCCAGUUAGAGAAAGGCACCUGCUUGGGGCUGACCGGAUUGGGGAAGCCUCGCCAUGUAGCCGGGAGGCUCAGGCUUGGUUAUCUGGGGGCUCCGAGGUGAGCUCACUUAAAGGACCCUCCCUCGGCUAUCUAGCGAGGACCUGCGGCCCAGGUGGGGUGAAGGAAAAAACGCCACACAGCACAAACCGAGUCAGUGCCCUAGCAGGGCCUGAGGAGGGCAGACCCCUGGGGAAGGCAGGCCCCAGGGUUUCUGCAAGUUGAGCCCCUGCAGGGUGGAGCCCGUCGUGAGUCUUAGCCUGGGUAGGGACCCCUCUCGGGACCUGGGGACGCCGCUGAGGAGGCUCCACCCUCGCAGAGAAGUUUCCCCCCUCGGGGGUUCGGCCGGGCCUCGGUGCGGAGCCAGCUGGGUGGAACGCCCCGCCCCUCCCGCGCCGAGCCUGCCCAUAUAAGGCGAGCGUCGCGCCGCGGCGCCCUUUAUGGAGCGGUUGUCGUCACCUGCGUCCGCCCGCCUUUCACCGCAGCCAGGCCGCCAGCCCGCCGGGGGCACCUCUCCAAAGCCACGCCCCUCCGCGCCUCUCUGCCAGGAAGCGCCGCCCCGGCCCAGUCCGCCGUCCGCGGGGAGGCAGCCCAGGCGCGCACGACCCCCUCGAACACACCCCGGCCCCGCGCACCUGCUCCUCAUCGUGUCCGGAUGCGCAGGCGCCUGGGACCAGCGGAACAAGCCGGGGAGGGCUUGUUCGGCCACAAAGUUGGUUGCCGGGGUGGGGAGAAUGUGCUGGAUUACCCACCCACGAGCCAGGAGUCGGGGUGGGAGGAAUCAGCCUUCCUCCAGGACGGCGCAGCCCACCGGGCGCCUGCUAAGUGCCCAGCACUGACCUCACCUUUAGAAAAGAAAUCUACCUAUGCCACGAUGCGGAAGACAGGGUCUCGCUCUGUCACCCAGGCUAGAGUUCAGUGGCGCUGUCGGCUCACUGCAGCCUCCAACUCCUGGGCUCAAGUGCUGCUGCCAUCUCAGCCUCCUCAGUAGCUGGGACUACAGGUACACGCCACCACGCCCAACAGUGACAGGUUGGACACUACUGUACUGCCACGCUGGGUCGGGCAUACUAAUAAGCCCAGGGAAGAAGAGUCAGACCCAGUGCCAGCGCAGGGGAAACGCAUCUAAUCCAGAACAGCAGACACAGCUCCUCUCCCAUGGAACACCCAGAGCAGACAUUGCCAGUCGAUCCCAGCACCCUUUCCCCGGGAGCCUGGGCUCAGCCUCAAGACUUUGCUUCCGCUUCACAAAGCUCUGCACAGCCAGUUCUCAUCAAUUGGAGUUGGUCCAAAAUAUGGAAACUCUUUGCUCUGCCUGACCCAAACCAUUCCUCUUUCCCAUAACAAUUCUGACAUUUAAAAACAGCAGAAUUCCCCAACACUCAUCCCCGGGAAAAGAAAUUUGGCAUUGUUGGUACUUUCAACUCCUGACCCUGGUCAGCUGUUGAGUCAACUUGUGGUUGAGUCUGAGCCCCAUUUCUGCAGACAGAAAGACCGCAUUUGCGUUUCUGAGUCUCAGGUUUAGGAUGAAUUUUGUAUAGUCACUGUAACAAAUUACUGCAAACGUAGUGGCUUAAAAUAAAACAAAUCCAUUAGCUUACAAUUCCAGAGAUUAAAAGUC
rnacentral:lncRNA from 1 species